rnacentral:tRNA from 1 species
GGGUCGUUAGCUCAGUUGGUAGAGCAGCGGACUUUUAAUCCGUUGGUCACUGGUUCGAAUCCAGUACGGCCCA